rnacentral:rRNA from 1 species
AGGAAGGUAGUGUAGUUAACACCUGCAUUAUUGUACGUUACCUACAGAAAGAAGACGACCGGACUAACCUCCGUCGCCAGCACGCCGACGGUAAGUACGGGAGGGGUGCGAGCGUUAAGUACGGUAAUUACGUGGGACGUAAAGCGCAUGCAGGCGGCCUGUUAAGUCAGAUGUAGAAACGGCCCGGGGACCUUUAACCGUACGGUAAUUGCUAUUUAGUAAACGUGGCGAGGCUAGAGUCUUGUAGGAGGGGGGUAGGAAUUUCAGGUGUAGCGGUGAAAUGCGUAGAGAUCUGAAGGAAUACCAGUGGCGAAGGCGGCCCCCUGGACAAAGACUGACGCUCAGAUGCGAAAGCGUGGGGAGCAAACAGGAUUAGAUACCCUGGUAG